GUCAGAACGAACGACUGCGGCGACUAGCUACUACAUGCAGUACGACGAGACCUCGGGUCGUAGUGGCGGCACGGUGGCGUAACGACGUGGGAAGGUACUUGCCCUUCCGGGUUUCGGGGUAGGUAAACAACGUUGGUAAACGGAAACCUACGCGUAAUUAACCGGACGUGAUGACUUACGGUUCCGAAACGAAGUUAUUGCCCACGGAGUGAGCACGCGUAGGAUUAGCUUGUUGGUGAGGUAAAAGCUCACCAAGGCGACGAUCCUUAGCUGGUCUGAGAGGAUGAUCAGCCACACUGGGACUGAGACACGGCCCAGACUCCUACGGGAGGCAGCAGUGGGGAAUAUUGGACAAUGGGCGAAAGCCUGAUCCAGCAAUGCCGCGUGAGUGAUGAAGGCCUUAGGGUUGUAAAGCUCUUUUACCCGGGAAGAUAAUGACUGUACCGGGAGAAUAAGCCCCGGCUAACUCCGUGCCAGCCGCCGCGGUAAUUC
rnacentral:rRNA from 1 species